GAUGAACGCUGGCGGCGUGCCUAAUACAUGCAAGUCGAGCGAACAGAUGAGGAGCUUGCUCCUCAUAAUCGAGCGGCGGACGGGUGCGUAACACGUAGGCAACCUACCCUUGAGAUUGGGAUAACUACCGGAAACGGUAGCUAAUAACGGAUACGACUUUUGCACACAAGUGGAAUGGUUAAAAGGCGGAUUUAUCUUCCGCUCAUGGAUGGGCUUGCGGUGCAUUAGCUAGUUGGUGGGGUAGUGGCUCACCAAGGCGACGAUGCAUAGCCGACCUGAGAGGGUGAUCGGCCACACUGGGACUGAGACACGGCCCAGACUCCUACGGGAGGCAGCAGUAGGGAAUCUUCCGCAAUGGGCGCAAGUCUGACGGAGCAACGCCGCGUGAGUGAUGAAGGGUUUCGGGUCGUAAAACUCUGUUGUUAAGGAAGAACACUUGAGGUAGUAACUGGCCUUGAGAUGACGGUACUCAACCAGAAAGCCACGGCUAACUACGUGCCAGCCGCCGCCGUAA
rnacentral:rRNA from 1 species